rnacentral:lncRNA from 1 species
AAUUCUUUUUAAAAUAAAAGUCGGAUGAUUGAAUAAAAAUUUAUUUUCACAUAAUUAAAAUAUAAAUAACAAUAAAUUUUAAAAUAUGAAAUUAGAUUUAUUUAGUUCUAUCACUGAAUCUCACAAAGAAUAUAUAUGGCAAUGGCCAUUUUUUAGAAUUUACAAUAUAGACCAGGGGUCGGCAACCUUUUUGCUAGGAGGGCAUAUUUCAGAAAUGCCAAAACUCAGCAGGCAACCAUGUUUCAAAUUAUUUUUUGAGACCAAAAAAAAAAAGUUCAGCUCAAUAUAUUUAUUACAUAUUUUUAAUACAUAAAUAAAAAAC